GUAUAGGUUAGUUUGAUGUAUAGCACACAUAAGUUUCUUAGUAAGCUAUAGCACGUUACCGCAUAUUAGCUUGAUAUUGAUUGGUCACCUUACUGAAAUAUAUCUGUACA